rnacentral:rRNA from 1 species
GUGUCAGCAGCCGCGGUAAUACGUAGGGUGCGAGCGUUGUCCGGAAUUACUGGGUGUAAAGGGUCCGCAGGCGGGCAGGAAAGUCAGAGGUGAAAGACUUCGGCUCAACCGAAGAAUUGCCUUUGAUACUUCUUGUCUUGAAUCCGAGAGAGGAUAGUGGAAUUCAUGGUGUAGCGGUGAAAUGCGUAGAGAUCAUGAAGAACACCAGUAGCGAAGGCGGCUAUCUGGCUCGGUAUUGACGCUCAGGGACGAAAGCGUGGGUAGCAAACAGGAUUAGAAACCCUUGUAGUCC